GAUUAACGCUAGCGGCAGGCAUAAUACAUGCAAGUUGAACGGCAGCACAGGUAGCAAUACUGGGUGGCGAGUGGCGCACGGGUGCGUAACACGUAUGCAACCUACCCUAUACAGGCGAAUAACCUUUAGAAAUGAGGGCUAAUACGCCGUAGUAUUACAGAUGGGCAUCUAUUUGUAAUUAAAGAUUUAUCGGUAUAGGAUGGGCAUGCGUCCCAUUAGUUAGUUGGUAAGGUAACGGCUUACCAAGACGAUGAUGGGUAGGGGAUCUGAGAGGACUUACCCCCACACUGGUACUGAGACACGGACCAGACUCAUACGGGAGGCAGCAGUAAGGAAUAUUGGGCAAUGGCCGCGAGGCUGACCCAGCCAUGCCGCGUGCAGGAAGACGGCCUUAUGGGUUGUAAACUGCUUUUAUACGGGAAUAAUAGAGUGUACGCGUACAUUUAUGCAAGUAUCGUAUGAAUAAGCAUCGGCUAACUCCGUG
rnacentral:rRNA from 1 species